CCUACGGGAGGCAGCAGUGGGGAAUCUUGCGCAAUGAGCGGAAGCUUGACGCAGCGACACCGCGUGAGGGAUGAAGGCCCUCGGGUUGUAAACCUCUUUCACCACCGACGAAGCGUGAGUGACGGUAGGUGGGGAAGAAGCACCGGCCAACUACGUGCCAGCAGCCGCGGUAAU
rnacentral:rRNA from 1 species